rnacentral:rRNA from 1 species
UACGAAGGGGGCUAGCGUUGCUCGGAAUCACUGGGCGUAAAGCGCACGUAGGCGGCUUUCUAAGUCAGGGGUGAAAUCCUGGAGCUCAACUCCAGAACUGCCUUUGAUACUGGAGAGCUUGAGUCCGGAAGAGGUGAGUGGAACUCCGAGUGUAGAGGUGAAAUUCGUAGAUAUUCGGAAGAACACCAGUGGCGAAGGCGACACACUGGCUCACUACUGACGCUGAGGCGCGAAAGCGUGGGGAGCAAACAGG